rnacentral:rRNA from 1 species
UCUAUCUGAAAGUAUAGGAAGUCUAACCUGCUCACUGAUAUAAGUUAUUAAAGAGCCGCAGUAUUAUGACUGUGCAAAGGUAGCAUAAUCAUUAGGUUUUUAAAUGGAAUCUCGUAUGAAUGGUUGGACAAAAGAAAAACUGUCUUUAUAUUAUAUUUGAAUUUAACUUUUAAGUGAGAAGGCUUGAAUACUCUAAAGGGACGAUAAGACCCUAUAAAACUUUACAUUAUAAUUAUAUUUUAUAGAAUUUUGUAAUAAAAAUUUAUUUAAUUGUUUUGUUUUGUUGGGGAGACAACAGUAAAAAUUAUAUUAACUGCUUUAGGUUUAAUCAACUAUAAGUGAGUUAAAGUUUAAUGAUCCUAAUUAUUGAUUUAAAGAUUAAGUUACUUUAGGGAUAACAGUGUAAUUUUUUUUGAGAGCCCAUAUCGAAAGAAAAGUUUGCAACCUCGAUGUUGAAUUAAAAUAUCUUUAUAAUGCAGAUGUUAUAGGAGAAGGUCUGUUCGACCUUU